rnacentral:lncRNA from 1 species
UGUAUGACAUAAUAGUGUCCUGUGAAAAAGUGUUCACAUGGACAGUUUUUUAUAGAAUUUUGGUAUUUAAUAAUGUCCAUUGCCAUGGAAUAAUGUCCCUCAAAUGGACAGAUUUUUACUGUAAAAGAUAUGAAAUAGUGUCCACCCACAGGACAAAUUUUCAUAGAAGUUGCUAUUAGAUUGUGUCCUCCAAGGGAAGUAAUACAAAGGUCAUUAAAAAGUUUUAUUAUACUUGAAUUCUAAUUAAAAUAUAAAAGAUUGAUGAGAAAUUGAUUAAUAUACAAAU